AGAGGAAAAGUUCAAGAAGUUACAAGAGCAAUGAGGCCAUAAAAGAAAAUAGCUGCCCUUCUGAAUCAAAGAGUUCCUCCUUUAUGUAUUUUACUCCCAUGGAGCAGGGAACCACAGAUAAGGUUUUACAUGAGGAGGAGGAUGAUGUCCUGCCCUCUAGGAUCUGUUUCUUUGUUUGGCAUGUCCACACCUGCCACCUUCUCCAGCAGGUUGUUAUUGGGAGGCUGGCCCCUCUUUCCUACUCAAGAGGCUGGGAACUACACUGAAUCCCACCCCACCACCAUGGUAGCCUGUACCCAAUCACUGACUGCUGUGGAGUCACCUCCACGUCAAGGUGGAAUAUUUACGCCCAAGACCUUUCCUUAGAAUCAAAUUCCUUCCCUUUCAUUUCCUACUCCAUUUCAUCAUGGAUUUCUCCUGAGAGCCCUCUCAAAAAAUCCCUUGCUCACAUACUGCCUUCUCAGGCUCCACUUCUAGGAAACCCAACCCAAAACAACAUGGAUGAGGGCCAUAUUGCUUCCAAACUGGGACGAGGUGAAGCUAAUGCUCUAUUUUGAUAGUGUUGCUGCUCUUAUUCAUGAAUCUAUUUCAUUCAACAAAUGCCUUUAAUGAGAUAAUUUGUGCAAGGCCCUAGGUUUCAGGGAAGAUAAGCCUUGAGGUGACUAUAAUUAUUUUAGGCUGAUAAGCAACAUUUAAAUUUAAACAGCAAUACCUGAAUUAAAUAAAAAUUUCAGGAGUAACAAGGUGAUAUAUUAAUUAAUUGACAACGAAUGGUACAAGCAAUACAUAGCAUGAUGCUGAACUAUAAUCCACACUCCUGGAAUCUUAUAAGGGCUGUUUCAAUAAAGUCAGAAGUAGUGUCAUACAAGCAUAAAAAAUAUUUAGCUCAAAGUAAAGGUGAUGGAGGGAGAAAGGUUAGAGAUAAAGACCUGAAUCUAAAUCCCAUCCAAACACAAGUCCUGUGACUUUGGAAUCGUUUUGUUAUUCCUCUCUUAGUGUACAUUUCUUAAUCUGGAG
rnacentral:lncRNA from 1 species